GACGAACGCUGGCGGCGUGCUUAACACAUGCAAGUCGAACGGAAAGGCCCGGCUUUUGUGGGGUGCUCGAGUGGCGAACGGGUGAGUAACACGUGAUUAACCUGCCCUGGACUUUGGGAUAACUUCAGGAAACUGGGGCUAAUACCGGAUAGGAGCUCCUGCUGCAUGGUGGGGGUUGGAAAGUUUCGGCGGUUGGGGAUGGACUCGCGGCUUAUCAGCUUGUUGGUGGGGUAGUGGCUUACCAAGGCUUUGACGGGUAGCCGGCCUGAGAGGGUGACCGGCCACAUUGGGACUGAGAUACGGCCCAGACUCCUACGGGAGGCAGCAGUGGGGAAUAUUGCACAAUGGGCGGAAGCCUGAUGCAGCAACGCCGCGUGCGGGAUGACGGCCUUCGGGUUGUAAACCGCUUUCGCCUGUGACGAAGCGUGAGUGACGGUAAUGGGUAAAGAAGCACCGGCUAACUACGUG
rnacentral:rRNA from 1 species